UACGAAGGGGGCUAGCGUUGUUCGGAUUUACUGGGCGUAAAGCGCGUGUAGGCGGAUUUGUAAGUUGGGGGUGAAAUCCCGAGGCUCAACCUCGGAACUGCCUCCAAAACUACAAGUCUGGAGCAAGAUAGAGGCAAGUGGAAUUGCGAGUGUAGAGGUGAAAUUCGUAGAUAUUCGCAGGAACACCAGUGGCGAAGGCGACUUGCUGGAUCUUUGCUGACGCUGAG
rnacentral:rRNA from 1 species